rnacentral:rRNA from 1 species
GAAUCUUCCACAAUGGACGAAAGUCUGAUGGAGCAAUGCCGCCUGAGCGAAGAAGGUUUUCGGAUCGUAAAGCUCUGUUGUAAGGGAAGAACACGUACGGGAGUAACUGCCCGUAACUUGACGGUACCUUAUUAGAAAGCCACGACUAACUACGUGCCAGCAGACGCGGUAAUACGGAGGUGGCACGCGUUGUCCCGAAUUAUUUGGCGUAGAGCGCGCGCAGGCGACCUGUUAAGUCUGAUGUGAAAGCCCCCGGCUCAACCGGGGAAGGUCAUUGGAAACUGAUAGGCUUGAGUACAGAAGAGGAAAGCGGAAUUCCACGUGUAGCGGUGAAAUGCGUAGAGAUGUGGAGGAACACCAGUGGCGAAGGCGGCUUUCUGGUCUGUAACUGACGCUGAGGCGCGAAAGCGUGGGGAGCAAACA